AAAUCCGACUUCGGUUGGAAAGUAUAGUGGCGAACGGGUGAGUAACGCGUGGAUGAUCUGCCUGGUAGUGGGGGGAUAACUCGGGGAAACCCGGGCUAAUACCGCAUGAGCCCGCAAGGGGAAAGGUUUCGAUCGCUAUCAGAGGAGUCCGCGUCCGAUUAGCUAGUAGGUAAGGUAACGGCUUACCUAGGCGUCGAUCGGUAGCCGGUCUGAGAGGACGGACGGCCACACUGGGACUGAGACACGGCCCAG
rnacentral:rRNA from 1 species